GGAAACGAAGAGUAAUACCUUAUACGCCCUUCGGGGGAAAGAUUUAUCGGUAUCGGAUUAGCCCGCGUAAGAUUAGAUAGUUGGUGGGGUAAUGGCCUACCAAGUCUACGAUCUUUAGCUGGUUUUAGAGGAUGAUCAGCAACACUGGGACUGAGACACGGCCCAGACUCCUACGGGAGGCAGCAGUGGGGAAUCUUAGAUAAUGGGCGCAAGCCUGAUCUAGCCAUGCCGCGUGAGUGAAGAAGGCCUUAGGGUCGUAAAACUCUUUCGCCAGAGAUGAUAAUGACAGUAUCUGGUAAAGAAACCCCGGCUAACUCCGUGCCAGCAGCCGCGGUAAUACGGAGGGGGUUAGCGUUGUUCGGAAUUACUGGGCGUAAAGCGCACGUAGGCGGACUGGAAAGUUGGGGGUGAAAUCCCGGGGCUCAACCUCGGAACUGCCUCCAAAACUAUCAGUCUAGAGUUCGAGAGAGGUGAGUGGAAUUCCAAGUGUAGAGGUGAAAUUCGUAGAUAUUUGGAGGAACACCAGUGGCGAAGGCGGCUCACUGGCUCGAUACUGACGCUGAGGUGCGAAAGUGUGGGGAGCAAACAGGAUUAGAUACCCUGGUAGUCCACACCGUAAACGAUGAAUGCCAGUCGUCGGCAAGUAUACUUGUCGGUGACACACCUAACGGAUUAAGCAUUCCGCCUGGGGAGUACGGUCGCAAGAUUAAAGCUCAAAGGAAUUGACGGGGGCCCGCACAAGCGGUGGAGCAUGUGGUUUAAUUCGAAGC
rnacentral:rRNA from 1 species